CGCAUCUGUGCAUGCAGCAUAUCAAUAAGCGGAGGAAAAGAAACUAACAAGGAUUCCCCUAGUAACGGCGAGUGAAGCGGGAAGAGCUCAAAUUUGAAAUCUUAAAGGGUUUCCCUUUACGAAUUGUAGUUUAAAGAAGUGUUUUCUGUUGAGGUUUUGGUAAAAGUUCUUUGGAAUAGGGACAUCAUAGAGGGUGAGAAUCCCGUAUUUGACCUUUACUUUCAACUUUGUGAUACACUUUCAAAGAGUCGGAUUGUUUGGGAAUGCAGUCCAAAAUGGGUGGUAAAUUUCAUCUAAAGCUAAAUAUUGGCGAGAGACCGAUAGCGAACAAGUACCGUGAGGGAAAGAUGAAAAGAACUUUGAAAAGAGAGUUAAACAGUACGUGAAAUUGUCAAAAGGGAAGCGUUUGACACCAGUGUUGUUUUUCUGAAAAUCAAUUAAAGAACUGUUUAUGCUAAGCUGUUUAGACUUUAUCAGCUAUCUGUUUAGUUUUGAGCUUUUCUUUAAUGCACUUUUCAGUUAACAAGUCAACAUCAAUUUCUUUUGCUGUAAAAAGGCUUGAGGAAGGUGGCUUGAGAUUCGUCUUAAGUGUUUAUAGCCUCUUGCCUAUGCAGUCGGAGAGAUUGAGGUCUGCAGCGUAGAUCCUUCGGGGCUAAAUGCAUUUGUGCUAAGUUAUAGCAUUUUAUAGACAACUUGUUGACUAUGAUUUGUCUUGUAGCUUACUCGCUUAUGUUAUUUUACCUACGCUUAGGAUGUUGAACGCGCACAGAGUCUC
rnacentral:rRNA from 1 species